rnacentral:tRNA from 1 species
UCCGACCUUAGCUCAGUUGGUAGAGCGGAGGACUGUAGUUGGACAACAUCCAAAUAGAUAUCCUUAGGUCGCUGGUUCGAAUCCGGCAGGUCGGAA